AUCAUUUCUAAACAUUUUUAUUUCAAAUCUCUUUUCAUCCCUCCCCAAAAAGACAUGGGUCGGUACAGCAAUCAUAAAAAGGAGAUACAAACACAAGAGUCAAAUGUCUCCCGCACUGACACUUACAAAAAACCGGGAAUUAUACACAGGGUUUCCAAACAGGACCUGCAGCAGCUACUAAUGUCCCUUUACAAGAGUCACACAUGCCUAUUAGUACAGUAUUUACAGACACCCCACUCUGGAACUAAUCUACAGGGACAUCCCAACACCCACCCCUCUAUGCCCAGAAAAAUACCAAAACACACCCAAAGUGCAUUUGUUUGUUUAUAUCAAAACAUCUCUCCCUCUCCCCGGCCCACCCCAGACCCACCCCCAUUGAAGAUUGGCCUGCAAGUCUAUUUUAACCAUUUAGUUAUUUUUUAUACUUUAUGAAAAUAAAUUAUACAGCAACUAUUUUAAUAAAUUAAGCACAGAGGGAGAAUAAAGGAGGAAACUAAAUGGGAAGACAAAAGCCAGGCCACACUUUGGCUAGGAGGGCAGGGGUGGCUUAGCAGGACAGAGUGGUUGUGGGGGUACGGCUCCCCGGUGGUGAAGAUCCCCCAACCACUGAGUCCAGACUGACACCCCUCAGCACGGAGUUUCUGAAAAACCACCAGAAUGCACAGCAGGGCCUGUGCCAGGGAUGGAGGAGUGGUCAGAUCAGCCCAUUGCCCACUGAACACAGCAGGGGUCACACCCAAGUGGGCUGAAGAAGAGUGUCUUGUUUUCCCUAUCUGUCUCCAGGAGCAGCUGCCGUCGCAGUCCAGCUGCGAGCCAUGUUGCUGUCUGCCCGGCUGCUUGUCUGCUCCUUGAUGCCUCUUGGCACUAUGAGGAGGGAUCAGUGGGGCAGGGAGCAACUCCAGGGACUCUCUAAAACCCUCUCAAGAUGAAAUGGAGUGAAGGCAUGUCACAAACUCAGCAUGCAGGAUUGGCUUUCUGGGAGGUAGAUGAAGUGGGAAGGGACAGGACAAAGGACAGAAAGACAAGAGGGACACCAAAACUAGGUGACCCCUACCUAGGACACCAGGAAGCAAUGAAAGAUCAAGGACACAUGAAAUCUGCAUGUAAAGAAAGGUCCCUUUCUCUGGCAGAUUAUAGACUCAGUUCUCUAUUUUCAACUGCAGUACCACGUCCCCUGAGCCCUCUCAGUGAUUAAACCCAAUCUCACUCCCAAGAUGCUGUUCUCCACUUUUUCAAGGAAGGCCCCAUCACACACACUGACACAUUGAAGCACAAGGGCUCCAAUGCCAAAACAGACGGGUGACCAUAGGGGACUGGCAGACGUGACUCUUGUGGCCCAAUAAUUCUACAGCUAUCGUAAGGGGCACACCUUUCUUUCUUUCUUUUUUUUUUUUUUUCUUUUUUCUUUUUUAAUAAAAAAAGUUUUACUCCCCAGGAGCAAAUAAAUCAUUUUGAACUACUGAUAAACACUGCUGCAGUGAAAAGAAAGAUGGCUACAUGUAUGCAAUAGCACAGAUUUAGUGUAAGGACAGCUGUGUUGAUGACUAGAAAUAAAAACCAUGUAUCCACUCCCCUCUCCCCACAAACCAAACCAAGAGGGUUCCCAUAGGGAAAAUGUCUAACUCACGCUCUUCCCUCCACACAGUGGGCAUUGCCAUUCUCUUAAAGUGGAAAGUGAGUCCUAGUCCCCACUAGUGGAAAUGGUCCCAACACCCCAACCACAGACAAGACUCGGACAAACGAGGGCACACGCUCACGCAGAAUUCUAGACCUGUGUGGCUCUUUCCAUCUCUCUGACCUGGCCUCUCACUCCUGCGCUCAAAGGUAAGGGAAAAGCAACAAGAGAAGGGAAGGGAGGAAGAUCUUGCCUGGGGAAGUUUUCCUGUCCCUACUUCCUACUGGCUUCAAGCAGGCAUGAGCAAGGCUGAAAGGGUGGCUCCCUGGGGCCCUUGUAGGGCUGUACUCCGAUUAUUUCCUAGUCCUCAGAGACCUGCAUCAGAGGGUCUGUGUAGCCAUCCCAUAACUCCCUGCUUGGACUCAGAGGCUGGCACUGCUAUCCACGUUUACUUCACCUUGGUACUAGACCACAAUCAAAUCAGGACAGUUGGCCUCACAGCCAAGCUCCUGCUCCCUCAUGCCUACACUGCCAGCACAGACACACAUUUCAAGUAACCACAGGUUGCAGCAGUAGUUGUCACUAGCUUACAUCAACAUACCCGUCUUGAGGAAGGUUACAGUAGAUCAGUUAUGAGUGAAGGUUUACAGGCUGAGUCUGGGAGUAGUGACACCCCCAACCACACCUCAGAAAGCCACAGCAGGUCUCUAGAAGUGACUGCCUUUCCUUUCCAGUUUGUGACUGGCACAUAACCACCAAAGACAAGUUGAGUCCCCUCUGCAGACUGCAUUUCCAUUAGCACUGCCCCACCAUCAGCAAAAGCUGAAAGGCCAGUGCCCUCUGGCCUUGCUCCUGCACCCUUCUCCCCCAGCCUGCAGCACACAGUGCAGUCAGCAGCUCAACUGCUCUCCCCAAUUGCUCAUUCCUUCUAACAAGACCUCCUGGGCAGCAGGCCAGGCCUCCUAGAGCUGUGUCCACACUGCUGUUUUGCAGCCCAUCCUGCAGAGGCAGGGCCAGGCCAGCUGCCUGUGACGGGAAUAUCGAGGCUCAUAAACACAGUGCAACUCGCUUUCCUGGGACAGAAGCGAGAGGCCGCCAUGCUCUGGAGCAGGUAGGUCUGCUUCGCACCUGACUCUAGAAACUCUCCACAGGGAACCCCAGGACUAGAGAGGUGUUUCCUGACUUCUGGCCUUGUCCUCCACCACACCCUCAUUCCCCUUAGCCUUCAGACCUGUCCAGCCAUUAGGAAGUUUCCGACAAGCAGAACUCUGAUGCCGUUGAUCUAAGGCAGCUGCACACUUGCCACACAUUUCUGCUCUGUACUUUAGUUUGAGUCUCUGUCACAGUGUCCUCACCUACAACCCAAAGCCUUAUCACCAGAGCUCUCCCAGAGCUACCUGUGGUCUACCCUGAUCAUGCCGCUCGAUCUGAAGAUGGCCCUUGACGGUCUGCUCCAAUGAAGCUGCUCCAACCCCUUCUUGGGCAACAGUCACCUUACAGUUCCCUCGGGGCAGGGGCUUGUCUUCUACCUCACAUGUCCUUCCACACUACCUAGCUCAGAGCCAUGCAAACAAUGCAAACACGGGUUGACAACUAAUUCUUAUAUCAUGGGCGGCUGAAAUGGGAGAAAGAACCUCUCAACUGCAAACAUUAAGAAGACCUCUGUGGACUCUGGAGUUUGGGCUCCAUUACAGAAUGGCCUUUUCUAUAAGAUGACAAGUGUCCUGUACCCUCCAGAGGUGGAACUUGCAGGUGUGCCAGUCUCCGAAUGGUGACCUUAUGAUGUUAGGGGUCCCAUGAGACACGUCAGAAGUGAGCUGGACUAACACGUACACAGUUCAUUCUGGGUCUCAUUUCUUUACAGCCAGCUGCGAAAGCACACCUCUGUGUUUAGCUCAAGGAGGAGGAAGGUGACUCCCUGCACAGAGGGAGCACACAGGUCACCUUCCAGAUAAGACAGUUUUCUAAGUUACUUAGACACAGACUUCACUCCUACCAUCAGGAACCCCAAAAGUGAUGAUAUUUACUUUGUCUUCUGAGGCACACAAGAGGGAACACUACAGGGUUGGGAGUAAUGAAGACCCACCCACCAGCCCCACUGUCUGUCUUGAGUAGCUCUGUAGAACAGCAAACUGAUGUGGCCCAUGGCUGGACGUGGCCAGUUUCAGACACAGACUACUCAAGCACCAAAGUCCUUCCCUUCUUCCACAUCCAUCUCAAAGGCAGGUUUCAAACUAGCAUCUGACAGGUUCCCAGUGAGAAAGGCAGCGGGGUCUGACGCAGGACAUGUCUGGGUUGUGAGAACAAACACAGGGAGAUGAAGGAGCCCUUGCCACCUCCACCUCAGGGGUGGGGUGACACAGAGCAGCCUAUCAUCAUGAGAUGCCAUGCCUUUUCUGCACGACAGAAAUCCUGUUAAGGCUGAGACAUGCAGGCUCCUCUAGGAGCACCAUAGCUGUUUCUCAACUCCUCCACAUUUCCUCACUAGCUGACAGGCAGGGUAACACCGACUCCUUAGCUGUGGGCAUGCUUUGCCACAAAGAAUCUGGAAGCAUGCUCCAGGGUGAGGUUGCUGAUGGUGGUGGGGGAAGCCUUGGCAGCCUAGGAUUGGAGCUCUGAACUGGCCACGUGACAAGAAAACACCACUGUCUGCACAGCUGGCAGAAGCAGCAGGAGUGUUGGUUUGACCAAAGUGAAAUAAAUACACAGUUACUGAGGGUAAGGGACUGAGGAUGGAGGGAGAACUAGGUUUGCCUCAGGUCACUGAGCUUAAGGAAUUUAGUCAACAAAACACACACCAAUUCCAAGAGAGGCAAUUGUGGAAUCAGGUUUGUUAAACCUUGAAAGGAAAGGAGCAGGAGCCAGCAGUCCUCAGCAAACAGAACGACCAGUUCCUCGUGAACAGUUCCUCUCUCACUUGCCACCCUUCUCUCAUCUCCUGGUGAAGCUGGAGAUGAGAAUCAGACACCUUUCCCCAGAAACUUCCAACUUCCUUCUUCUGGACUUCUCUGGCUUCCCCAGCCCUUCCUCCAGGUUCAUGGGAAAAGAGCCUCAAUGCUGCCUUUGGCACCAGCUGAACAACCAGCCCCCCUCGUCCCACCUUUCGCUUGACCUGCUCAUCCCCAAUACCACUUUCAUUUCAAUGGGUAUAGACCCCAGCUGCCUUCCACUGAGAAACGUAAAUACUAAAACAAACGUCUGAAAAGAAACAGUGUUAAGACUUCUUCCAGUUUUCCAAGGAGCUUAUCUAGUCCUGGGGUUCGUGGGGCUGGGGAGUGGGGAGCCCCACUUGGAGGAUGGUUGUGUGCUUCUUCCAAGCCCCAGGGAUACAGGGGACCAAAGUCUGUGCCGAGAGUCACAACCCUUUCUUCUCUUUCUUCCAGACUCUUCUUUUGUGGUAGCUUCAUUUGGUUCUUCAAACUGGAGCCUGUCGAUCAAAUGCCUAGGUAAAAAGGGAAAGAAACAUCACAGAACAGUUCC
ensembl:lncRNA